AAAUUUAGUUUCUGCACGGAAGCAUUAGCUCCAGCUGUUUGCCCAUCUCAAUUUAUACCUGCUUCCCUUUCCCUGUCUAUUCUUUCCUCAUUCCAGUCUACGGUUAUUUUCAGGGCUCCAAGGUUAUCGGCUUCCCCGUUCGCUGCUCUUUCCCCAUGUAUCUUUGCGUUUCUCAAUACUCUCUAUCUUCAAGAAAUAUCGGGCCUCUCCCCAUGGUUCAGAUUCGGUGCAAAGCGGGAAAGGGGGUAAGAGGGACAGAGAUAUCUUCAUCCUUUUUCUUCGCUCGCUACAACCCUAGCAGCGAACAAAAUUCUUCAUUCUUCUUAUUCUGCUUCAAUACUAUGUGGUCUUCUUUCUUCAGUUCCUACCUUGAUUGAAUGCAGCGAACGAAAAUUUAUAUUUUGGAAUAUCUCUCACAAGUAAGAAUCGUGUAGAAGGUAAUAUGUUAUAAGAAGGUUGUAGGUGAUGCAAAUGCUGUAAAGAAUGCUAUAGUUCUUAUAUCAUCACGCUUGAGGGAAAGCCAACACCAUGACCGCAAUCAUUUUCAUGGACGAGCACAUUUACCAAAGCAAUUUUUCCCUCCUGAUGAUGAUUAAAUACGUAUUUCUACAUUGGGCUUGGUUUUUUGGUUUUUUGAUUCAUAAUGGAGAGAUAACAGUUUAAAACAUACUAUUAGAAGUUGAAAUAGUUUUUUCUCUUAUUAUUUCUGAUUACUACUUUGUAGUUGUUUUUGUAAUGCUUUUUGUCUUCAUUUCUCAUCACUUGGGAAGACGGUAAAUCUGGUUAGUGAUUGGUAUUUGCUAAUUGAGUGAUGAGUGAUUGCUAAUUAUUUUAGUAUGCUCAUCGAAAGUGCAUCCAGCAUUGGUGUAAUGAGAGAGGAUAUACAAUUUGUGAGAUUUUCUACAAGGAGUUGCUCUCACCAAAUAAACCUGUCAGCAAUUAAUUGUUCGGUACUCUUGACUACAUUAUUUUGACUUUCAAUAUGAAAUCUGAUAUGUUGUUUAUGAAAUCUGAUAUGUUGUUUGACCUUUUCCCUCAAUUUUUCCUCUCAACGUGUAAUUCUCUCUCAAUCUCAUCAGCAUGUCAUGCAUAAGGUGAAUCAACUGAAAAAGAAAGCCAUGCACGAAAAUUGCGAGCAAGGAAAAAAAGAUAUGCUUGAAAAAUGUCAUUGACACCAUGAACUGUAUGGUCUUGAACAUAAGUCAUCCCAACACAUAAAGAACUCAUUCGCAUUUAUUACCUUUUUUAACAAAAAGAAGCCAUAGGUCUAUCCCUCGGUUUCAUUGGUGAAUUGGCUUCUGUUAUGCACUACUUUUCUACUGCCUAAUUAAAUUUUUUAGUUGAAGUUCUGCAGUGGCAUUUGCUUUGAGCAAUAUCAAUGCAAAGGAAACUAUUUAAUUAUCAUUGUUGGGUGUAGCAACAUCAGUUGCUGCAAAGGCUCAAGGACAGAUAAGACACAGACUACCUUCCAUACCUUCUGUUUGGCCCAAGUUUUUUUAGUUGUUUUAUAUUUUGUAAAAAAAUAAUUGUGAUGUACGAUAUAUUGUUAAUAUGAGAAGCAAUUAUUAUUAUAACAUAAGAGGAGUUGUGAUGGUAUUGCAUUAUAUGCUAUAUUGGUUUUGUUUGCAAGGAAAUGGAGGAAAGGAGAAAAACAUGCUUUGUAAAGAGAACAUCAGAGCAAAGUGGGACCUUUGGGAAGUAAGCCACAGAUCCACAUUAGUUCUAAUAAGCGAUGAGCAGAACAUGCUUGACUGUUUAAGUUAUCUUGGGAAGCAGAUCUAAAAAGUAAAGUAAAGAUUUCUGUAGGCAAAGGGACCAUUGUUCCAUACCUCAAUUAUUCUGCAGAGAACUUACCUACUAAAAAUGCUACCAACUUAAAGGAGUUAUCUGGUUUGAAGUUUUCUCCUGAUCUGAGCAAGCCUUGCAUAUUAACACCAGACGAUAAUGGUAGUCAAAACCUGGAUAUAGUUUCAUCCAGGAUUCUAUUGUUUCUGGCACAAGCAAGGGAGGUGGAGAAUUGAUGAAGAAUGUGCCCUUGGCUGUUUUCUUUCUUGCUUUUGUCUUUCUUAGUUGUAUUUACCUUUAGUUGUAUUUACCCAUGCACGUGGUUGGCCUAAGACACUUGAUAUGAUGAGUACAUUUUGGCUAUCACAUCUCCGUAAAUUGGAGGUUUUUACUUUA